rnacentral:misc_RNA from 1 species
GAAAUGCGAUAAGUAAUGUGAGUUGCAGAAUUCAGUGAAUCAUCGAAUCUUUGAACGCACAUUGCGCCCGCCAGUAUUCUGGCGGGCAUGCCUGUUCGAGCGUCAUUUCAACCAUCAAGCCCCCGGCUUGUGUUGGGGACCUGCGGCUGCCCGCAGGCCCUGAAAAACAGUGGCGGGCUCGCUGUCACACCGAGCGUAGUAGCAUACAUUCUCGCUCAGGGCGUGCUGCGGGUUCCGGCCGUUAAACGACCUUCAUAACCCAAGGUUGACCUCGGAUCAGGUAGGAAGACCCGCUGAACUUAAGC